ensembl:lncRNA novel transcript
CCCAGUCCUCUGCGCCCCUUUUAUAUAGAAGCUUUUUCGCCCCGCCCGUGCGCAUGCGUAACGGAGUUCCCUUUGCGGGGCGCCGGGAGUCGUAGUUCUUAUCUUUCGGGCCCGCCGCCCUCGCGCGCCGUGCGACGUAGCCAAUCCCAGGACGCGUAGGGGGCGUCUCCCUGGCCGCCACCUUCCAUCGCUUAGACCUCGCUAAAGAAACGCGAGCGGCCAUUGGUGAAAAAUCACACGACUCGCUGAGGAAGGACGGCCAAUCGCAGAGAAGAUGGGGCGGGUUCUGGACCGUACCAUUCUGUUUCAGGAAUACGAGAAGAUUCGAUGGCCUAUGAGAGUCCUCACAGAAUAUUUUUAUGAAAAGGUGCGUUAUAAAGGCUAUUAUCGUAUUUUGUUCUCAGCGGAGGGGUUCCGAAGGUUAUGAACCUUUAUUAACUAACGCAAGAAUGGUUUAUUCCUAAAAAGUAGUCCCUAAAAUGUAAAAGAAUUAAAUCCUAUAAAGAGAGACGUCGGCCCACGGCUGCUAACUCGCGAGUCUUAAGAUUAUAGAAAUGGCUUCAAGGCGGGUGGUGAGUGCCUGAGACUGACACUUGCGGAAGGAUAUCGCGAGCACAUUUUGUAAAGACCGAAGAGCGCAUGAAGAAGUAAACAAAUGAAGAAUAAAAAGUGCCGCCUUAAAGGGACAGUGUGACUGCGUUUAGCGCCGCAGGCUCGCACUAGGCCUCGGAAGACGAAGAGGCGGGUUCGAGUCCCGGUGACGCGACUCCCGGACUGACCUCGGUACCCUUAGCUGAAGGUGGCGGAGUCCCAGCCCCAGCCUGGUCUCAGAAAGCCGCCCCCGCCCCAGGGGCAAAUGCAAACUGGUGAUUCGCGACCAAGGCUCUUCCCUGGGCCGAGAUCGGAAAGCCGGGGCCGGGGGCGGGCGGGGGAGUGGAGGGGGAAGCGGGGGAAGGCCACGCCCCCACGCCUCAGCUUCUGUCGAAGAAAAUGGCCUCCUGGGGCCGAUUUGGUCUUUUCACUUCCGACCGAGAUCAUUUCCUGAGCCGGGACAGAGGAGGUCCGGGACAGCCAUGAGGCUGUUUGUUGGGAAGAGUUCGGAAUGAUUAAUGAGUUGAAAUCAUCAGCCCUGGCUAUCCGAGAGGGAAGCAGGUCUCACCCGCAGAGGCCCUUCCUCAUCAGUGGGCGCUGGGCAAGACUGGGAGGGAAGCAUGGAGGAGGCCUUGCUCCGAAACUUGCUGCAGGGGAUUCUGGCGCAGGGCUGGGGGGGCCGAUUCCCCCGGGGGCGUAGUUUCUCAGAGAGAAAUUCUCUAGACCCAAGCCCCCAGCCCUCCAUAAACAGGGACUGAGAGGACCCAGAGAACCCUCCAUACCAGUCACUGAGGCCUAAAAUCUUGGCGCCCUUUCCACUUCUCCUUCGCCACACACCCAGUGACCCUUUCUUCUUAUUGCUUCCUUAAUAGCAUCCCUGACAUUCCAGCACGUUUGCACUGUGUACCUUUUACGCACAGAGCCAUGUGACCUCACCACAGCCUGGCAAGUUAGACACGAUAGGAAUGAGUGUCUCCAUUUUACAGAUAAGGCAUCUCUAAGACACUGGAAAAUAAGUGACUUGUCCAAGGUCACAUGACAACCAUGGGGCAGUUCUGGCUAGAGCGCUGGUCUUUGUGACCCCCCCCGUGCCAUUUUUCUUUCUGUCACAAACACAAAACCCAUUUUUUCUUAAAAUCGGGGAAUACUCUGGA